rnacentral:rRNA from 1 species
UUGUCUCAAAGAUUAAGCCAUGCAUGUCUCAGUACAAGCCGCAUUAAGGUGAAACCGCGAAAGGCUCAUUAAAUCAGUUAUGGUUCCUUAGAUCGUACCCACACUUACUUGGAUAACUGUGGUAAUUCUAGAGCUAAUACAUGCAAACAGAGCUCCGACCGGAUACGGGAGGAGUGCUUUUAUUAGAUCAAAACCAAUCGGCGGCGGGCGCGUUCGCGCGUCCGUUCGCCGCUCUACCUGGUGACUCUGAAUAACUUUACGCUGAUCGCACGGUCUCGCACCGGCGACGCAUCUUUCAAAUGUCUGCCUUAUCAACUGUCGAUGGUAGGUUCUGCGCCUACCAUGGUCGUAACGGGUAACGGGGAAUCAGGGUUCGAUUCCGGAGAGGGAGCCUGAGAAACGGCUACCACAUCCAAGGAAGGCAGCAGGCGCGCAAAUUACCCACUCCCGGCACGGGGAGGUAGUGACGAAAAAUAACGAUACGGGACUCAUCCGAGGCCCCGUAAUCGGAAUGAGUACACUUUAAAUCCUUUAACGAGGACCAAUUGGAGGGCAAGUCUGGUGCCAGCAGCCGCGGUAAUUCCAGCUCCAAUAGCGUA